rnacentral:sRNA from 2 species
GUAAGUGCCGCGCCGGAACGCCACACGCGCGCCGGACGGCUUGGGGUGAAGUCGCCGCGAGUGCACCUCGUCACAGCACUCGCGCAGGCGACCGGGCAACUCCAGCCCGAACCCGACAGCUCACCUCGCAGGCGUAGGAGAGGACCA